UUAGCUCUCAUUGUUCCUCUUAGGGAGAAAAUCCAUGGACCACUCUAUUCACUGCUCACAGGAAGGACACUCCUCCCUUCUCUGCUGCAGAGAGACAUGCUUGGAGGGAGAGUAGCUCAUUUGGGUUACCAGCACAAGGGAAGCACCUGAUGUGCUUUGGCCUUUGCAAGGACUCCUGAUCAGAACUUGCCUUGAUGAAGGAAUUCCUUCGUAUGUCCCACAUAUGCCCUUCAGUGCAAAGAGCAGAGCACUUGAAUGUAUAACAGCACCCUUUGUGCAAAAUGGCUCACAGCUGUCUGAGCUAUUCCCGUAAGACAAAAACAUGAAGUCCCACCCACUUUAUGGAAGAAACUCAACCAAAGGAUUGUCUGACUUGAGAUCUUAGGACACUGGACACUCCAUCAACAAUAACAACACCAGAAGAAGAGUAAACAUGUUUGGCACAGAACUUGGGCAGUCUACCCACCAUGUGGGUUCCAGGAAUUGAACUCAGGUUAUCAAUGCGAACCAGAAUUCCUGAAACAACUGAUUGAUUAGAACUGUAGUGAUUUGGAGAAAUUGGAGUGUUGUAAAUCCAGGGCCUAAUUACUCUUUAUCUUUAAUUUCGAAGCUAGCCUUUGCCCCCUAAAUGGCCAUUCCAUGCUGACCUCUGUUUGACCUAACAUCCUGUGGUUAAUGGAUUUCCAUUCACGGAAAAGUUAAGAGCAUCAUCAGAUGGCAGAGGAGACCCAUCUUUCUGUACCUUCUGAUGUUUCCAACAAUCAAUUGUUUAAAUAUCUUGACUUAUUCUUUGUUCUGUUACUACAAAACUCCACAAUUAAAGCAUUAUGCUCCACACUGAAACAUUAUAUUGAGGGUAAUCUAAAUGGUUUCUGGGCCGUGGACACUCAUGAUGUUUCCUGUAGAUAUACUGUGUUUCUUAUUCCUUUGAGAGAAGAGUUGUUUCUUUUGAUGACACAGUGCUUAGGUGCAGUUACUCUUAUCUACAGAGCCAUCUCCCCUGCCUGCAUGUGGCCUCUCUGAGACAACGGUUGACUAUUGGACCCUACUGGGGAGAGGUAUAUAGCAUUGUCAUUGAAUGGUGUACUUUGCCAAUAUCCCCUUUCAUGUUGCAUCAGAGAGAUCCUGUGUGCAGCAGUCUCCAUUGUGACAUGAGAAGGCUCUGGGAUCAAGCCAGCUGUUCUUAGGAAGUUCUGGAAGAGUGUUGGCAUGGCAGCGGCCCUUCUCUUUCAACAGCACAUUUGAUUAACUUAAACCCUGCCUGCCACACUGGAUAGCUGAAACCUGGUAUCCCAGUGACCUAAGACGGACCAGUGUGUUUCUAUAGAAGAAUGAAGCUAUUUCUGUACAGUAAGAACAACAACAAACGCUAAAGGACUGCAGCUCAUAUGACACAUCUGGAAUAUGAGGCCCGUGCUCCAGCUGCGUUCACUGGCACUGCACGGUGGGAGAGCAUGCAAGGUGUGGUGAGCACAACGCUCUCUCACACUGUGACUUCAGAACCAAGGCCGCAGUGAGCUCUCUCAGUGCCCCGCAGGUCCCGACCUCCCAGUAGUGCAUUGGGUGGGACCCAAGCCUUUAGCACACGGUCCUUUGGCAGACACCAACAGUAUAUAGCAAGGGAGAUGGCCACCUGUUUGGUAUGGCACCAUACCACAAUUGAUGUAGGUUCAUUGGAGGCAAACGCAACAAUAUCCUGGUGGCAGAAUUACCUACUACUGCAUCUGAUCAGGCGGGGACGGCUGGGAUUGCAGACGUCGAGUAAGAAUAAGGUAAGGUGGGGCUGAUGAAAGGGGAGAACAUUUUUGAGAGAGAGAGAGAGAGAGAGAGAGAGAGAGAGAGAGAGAGAGAGAGAGUGUCUUGGUCAGGUUAGCCUUCUAUUAUAGUUUGGUACAAAACAUCUCCCCAGUUAUUAGCAUGUGCACCCACAGAUCAGAGCAGGCAGAACCCAAAGACGCAGAGAGCAAAGGUAUAACACAGCAGGAAGAGCAAGACGCCCAGCCUUUCCACCUCAUUCCCGCUAUGCAGAAGAUACAUUGUAGACACAUGGGAGGACUGGGUGCUUUCAGCACGAGUAAGCUUCAAGCACCUGAAAAGUGAGCCAGGCAGCAUCAUGGUUCUCCCGAAUACACCAUAGGCAUUAUCUACAGCAGAACUAGAGGGACACUAGUCAUGUGUUGCCCAGUGAGUGGUCAAUAUUGAUGACUUUAAGUUGCGGUUCUUAACCUUCCUAAAGCUGCAAUCCUUAAAUACAGUUCGUGUUGUGCUGACCCCAAAUCAUAAAAUCAUUUCGUUGCUACUUCACUACUCUAAUUUUGCUACUGCUAUGAAUCAUAAUGUGAAUAUCUGAUGUAUGACCUCUCCUCCCAAAGAGGCUGAGACUCACAGGUUGAGAACCCAUUGUUUUAUGUGAACUGAGAGCAAGCGGUGUUGCAGGGUUGAUUUGGGGGUCUUUUCAGCAGUGCUGGGACACAUGAAAGAACAUCUGUAUCUGUUUGAUAAGUACGUCAUCAUCUCUGGUUAAGUCACAGCUCCACAGACGUGACUCUGCCCUAUGUCUCUCUACCGUGCAGUACAGAAGCCUGUAGUAAGCCGUUACCCCCAGUAUGUGACACACAGCUAUGGGGACCAAACACCUGAACGCUAUUCUAUUUUAGACACUGUCUUGCUUUACAGUCCAAGCUGACCUGGAACUUGUGAUCCUCCUGCCUCAGCCUCUCUCAGCUGGAGUUAUAGACAUGCGCACUGCACGGACUUAACGACUGGAUUUGUAAUUAAACUGAAUCAUGCUAUAAAUGCAAAACACGCAUCGGAUUUCCAAGGCAGGAGAAAGAGAAAACAAUGUAAAAUGUCUUGUUAACAUCUUUCUAUUGGCCAGCAUUCUAUCGACUAGCAUCGAUCAAUGUCUCUAAUAUAUUGUAUUAAGUGAUGUUCAUUCUUUAUGAUAAUUCUACCAAACCUUCUGACUUUUAAGAAAUGCGGUUACUAGGGGAAAAAAAACCUAAGCUAACCUAUGGAUUACAGCAGAUUCUUAUGCAGGACUCUAGAAGCCUAGGGUGGAUUUGGGUAAGAUUAGCGGUCUCACAUUUCACUGACAAAGCUGCAAAUUAUAGCAUUUGACCAAAUCCUACCCGGGGAAAAUUCUCACAAAGUUGGCAUUUGAAGUCAGGCAUGUUUAAUUUUUGUUUCUCCAUAUUUGCUUUUUAUGCUUUUCCUCCUAACUUACGACUACAAACAAAAUGAAAAGCGGCUUUUAAAAAAAAUGUUGUGUGUGCGCUGGGGAUUGAACUCGGAAGCUUCAAGCAUGCUAAUCACGUGUCCCAACACCGAGAAACACUCCCAGCCCCCAUAAACUGAUCUCCGAACCUAAAUUACAUCACACUUGCGGCUCUGUAUUUUACACACACACACACACACACACACACACACACACACACACACACACACACUCCUCUACAGGGACCAGCAUUCUCCCAUGUGUAAAGAGACAUGCCUGAUUGCUAGAUUAAGCAACAGAAAUUAAUUAUUACAGUAAUUACUCGGCCACUAAAUGUUUGAAUGCUAGACCCGACAUAGCUGUCCUGGGAGCCACCUUCAGCUUUUGAAUAUAUUAGCUUUGACAAGGCAGCUAGAGCAAUGUAUUUUUAAGCUGCUUUCUGGGGCUGCACUGUGCCAGGGAGAGCCAGGUGCAUCUGCUGUGGUUGGAGGAGGGGCCUCAAGACCCAGGGAGAGAAAUACACCGACUUCCAGCAUCCAGGUCUCUGGGCCUGAAAUCAAUGUCUGAAAGUAAAAACCUUCAGCCUUCAGGGUGGCCACUUAGCGGAGGGUGGACAGGUGCCCAGCCUGGUGAUGGUUGAGACUGGAAAAUAGCUGGUAUGAAGGGCUCAAAUACUUGUUUUGAAGCAAGGCAGCUGUCAAUCGAAAAUCUCAAUCAUACUAAGGGAGCCAGGAGCUGUCCUGUCUGAGCGAUUAAGCCAACACCUUUGGAUUUCUUUCAUCAGAUCUUGGGCCUCUGGGUCCCCAGGGGCCAACUCUGCUUUUUUUUUCCUUCCCCUUAGGACAGCCCCUAUUCACGGUGAAGACAGUCCUCCUUCAGGGACACUGUCACCUCAGGACUUAAGAGUUCAAAAGGUGAUUAUGCCACCGUGGGCCUUGUCUCCUGUGUGAAGACACUGCCUUUACUGAAACUGGCCCAGAUGGUUGCAGGAGCAAAACUGCGACGUGAAAACCUUUACCAAGUCUUUCAUUGCACCUCGAGGUGCAGUUUGAGCUCAAACCAUGGGGGUUCCAGCAGAACGUUUUAUGCUUGUGUUUCAUAAAUCCACCCAGAUAAACCAGAUAGCAACGUCUGGGGUCAUCAGUUAAUCCCCCUGGUCACAAACCUUCUGGUCUUGCUUUAGAACCCAUCAGUUCUGCCCAGGAAAAGUCUAGAAACUAUGAGCCCAGGUGUCUAAAAGGAGGAGGUGUUCCCUCUGAAGCUUCCUCACUUUGGGCCAAGGUAAAGAGUCCUUCUCUUGCUCCAGUCAGUGAGGCUUCCACACAAGCCUAGAAUCAUUUACCCCAGCUGAGUCCUGUUUCCCUUAAAGUGUAUCAUUGUCUAUUAAUACAGAGCAAUUAUUAAUAAUGGACACUGCAUCAGAAUCUCUGAGGCUCUGGGUUGAACAUCCUAGGCUGUUAUUUUAUUUAACCCUUACCUAGUCGUUUCAAAUCUAUUUCUUGAGUGACUGUGAACUUGACAGAUCCGUCAGGAGGCUCCCACUCCAUUCUACGACCAGGGAGGUUGUAUCGGGAAGCACAUAGGACCUAGGCACCUUUACUGGCUGUGACCGUGGCUACGGCAGGGCUGGAAAACACCCUUCUCUCAUGUCUUCUGGCUAGGAGGGCCCUUUCUACCAGUAGGGAAGUUUGUCUUGAAGGAUGGAGACAGCUAGGGACGAGUUAUUGGCCUUUAAGGUUCACACAGAUAAUUCUGAACUGUGGGCCACACCGUCCCUCCGAGAUGCGCCAUUGGGAGUGUCUUGACAGCCUCUCUGCGGGGUGGGGAGGAUUGUUCUUUCUUUGUGUGAAUCUCACCUUCCCCUCCUACUUCCUUGACCAUGAUGACCCAACCCUACACCACCUACCACCUUCCUUUACCACCCUACACCGUUGCCCACGAAUCACACCCUCACCUCACGAGGGCUCUUUCUCCACCUGACGCCAAACUUCAUUGCGACCACAUCUUACCCACGCAAGUGUCAGCAAGUUGCCUGGAAACAUCUCAGUCCUGUGUGGCAGAGCCAGGUCCCCUAUCCGUUUGUUUGACCCCAGAGCACUUAGUGGAGUAGGGACCUGUAGGGUGCUGUGGGAAUGUGGUGUGGGCACCUCUCCCCGAGAGCUGUCUCUCUUCUGUGGUAGCUGAGAAUAGCCUCACCCGUGUCCAUAGUACCGUCCUUGGCUACAGAAAGUAUUUCCUGAAGUCUCGUGUUCUCCAUAUCCAUCUGUCCAGGGUUAGAUGGGUCUCACUGACAGAAUAUGGAGUCAAAGAAGAAACCCACGCAGAUGUUUUUCUCCUGGAGGAAAGUGACUUAGAGUGGGGCUUUAGGGAAAUGAUGCCUGCAGCCCCUGCCCCUCGGCGUGUGCACGCAUGUACAGGUCGGGGCUAAGGAACCCCAGGGGUUUGCCAGUCUCCACCUCCCUGGGGCUGAGACUAUAUAGAUGCACAUCAUCUCAUCCUUCAAGGGAACACACUCAGAUCUUCAAACUUCUAAGGCAAGCACACUUUCAUUUGGGCCAUUUCUCCAGCCCCAUGACCGAGUCCUAAAGUUGUGAGACUAACCCCAGGGCUUUCCAUACUUCACGGUCAUUCCAGCACCACUUCCUAACCAUACCUCCACCAAAGUAACCAGUAGCCCAGGCCUCAGAUCCCUAAACAGGCGUCAGGGAGCCCGAACCCAACAUUAUUCCCCUGGUGUCGCAACUGACUCACGAGGUAGCAAUUUCCAUGGCCAAUUAGUGGGUAGAAGUCUUCGGAGUCUGCCUUGUAGACAGAAAUAAACUUUGGGAAACUGUUCAACACAUCAACCUUCUUAGAUUUCAGAUGGCCCCGUGGCAGAAAGCAGUAUGCCGUUUGGCAGUUAGGUUACUGUAGUUGGCAAGAAUGGCUCACAGUUGCCACAAAAGUACAGGAAUGUGGCCUUUUUAAAAAAAAAUAUGGUUUUCCCAGCAUCAUGAAUGGAGGAUUGAAGUUCAACUUCCUCCCCUCUGAGCUCGUCAGUUUUUGGUUAGAUUGCUUUUCUUCUUUUUAAAUUACAUUUUGGGAAAUAGAAUUCUGGGCAUGUAUUUCUGGUUGUCUUGGAAAUGCAAGCCUGAGAUCCCUAGGAAAGAAAGCUAUGAUCCCGGGGCACCCCUCCGCCCCUCUGCUGUGGUCCGUCUGGCCUUCUUGAUCCUCUCCCUUGCUGGGUAAGACCAGAUCUAAGACUCUAGAUCUUUCCCUGGGGUUGGCAAAGAGAGAAAGCAAUCUUUUUUUUUUUUUUUGGAGCUGGGGACCGAACCCAGGGCCUUGUGCUUGCUAGGCAAGCGCUCUACCACUGAGCUAAAUCCCCAACCCCAGCAAUCUUUAAUUUCUGAAAGUUUCUUUCACUCAUCUAUUCCUCCAUCCAUUCAUCCCACCACCCCCCAACACCCAACUCAUUAAUUUGUUGAGUAUCUACUCUGUGCUAGGAAGUCCUUUAGGUGGUCCCUAGGACGCGGUGACAAAUAACGUUCAGGACUUCUCUCGAGCCUUCCAGGCUAGCAGAGAAUAACUGAUGUGCAAAUCGUUUUACAGAUACUUAGUUCAGAUGGUGAAAGGCGCCUUAAGGACAGCCUGAGGUGCUAUGUGAGUUCCCUAAAGAUGUGGCAACCACACAGAGAGAGGACAUCAACCAAAUAGAACGGGGAAGGAGAUACAUCACUUCUGCUCUCUUCCACAGGAGGCUGUGUAACAGUCUGCGGGGUCAGAGGGAGUUGAGCACUGUACCCUGGAGCCACCUCUUCCACGUCUUGUGUUUAUGAUGUGCAGGCAGUGACCUUGUUCUCCAGUGAGCUCUUCUGGACUGAGUAACUCACAAGGGUGUCUGUAAACUACUUAGGAGCUUUUGGACGGUCCCGCCCUUUCUCCACAUGCUCAAAGCACUUGCUAGCUCUCUGCGCCUGCAGUCACAUUCGGUUAAUCCCUCCGUGGUGUCAUAACUCUGUAUCUUAGGAGAGGAGAAACUCAGACAUAUUCUCACCGCCAUUCUGUUUUUCUCCCACGUCAGCCUUCCGGUUGGUCAGUCAUGGGGUUUUGCAGAGUAAGGAGGGGAAUGGUGAGAAUAAGUUCUCUAGACCCAAGAAAACUUAGGAAUCAAUUUAAUCCCACUUAUAAUGAAAAUAAUGAAUACUAUGGCAUAUCUUCUGUACAAAACACACACGCCCCUACUUCCUUGCAUGUUCACCAUGUAUGCCAGGACUCAUAUGUUCUAUGCUCACAGCAGACAUUAUUAAUCAAUCACGAUACUUUUUAUCAAACUGAACCUUCAGGAACACUCUCAAUUCAACAUUUUAGGCUUCAUACUUCACUAAGGUUGGUGCAGGAUAUGAAAUGCAUUUGCCAGCCCGCGCUUGACUUCAAUCAAGUGAGUCAACCUGGGAAGAGUGUCCAAGUAACUUACUCAGGUUGCGGAUCCAAGCUUUCUGGAGGCAAAUUUCCUCUUUACCCUGAGAAGAUGGUUUUCAGUUUUUCCUAGUGUCCUCAUGGUUCCUGGUACCCUCCUCAGGUCUCAGUGCCCCUACCUCAGAUUCUGACCAGAUUGUGUAUUUUCUUGGACUCUCUCCUAUCUUCCUUUGGUGACAGAAGACGUACAAGAUGAUCAGGUUCCAAGAAACUCGCUGUUCAAUUCAGAGUUUCUCCUUCUGUUAGGGAAUCAUCACCCCAAAGGGUCUGAGAGACACGGAUGGCACAACUUAACGACUGUAGCAAAACAACUGGACUUUGACUCGAUAGUGUCUGUUUCCGGCCACACUGUCCGCCACUAGCAAAGAUUCCCUUGUCUCCCAUGAGCUUGGCGCGUUUCGAGUACUUGAUUUAGAUUACAAGCGGAAGGCUCAAGAAGAGCACAACUGGGUGAGGGUGGGGUGGAGGACAAGACUUAAGUAUGGUUUCUGGUCCCCGCCCUAGACCUCAAGACACGGGGCUGCCCCAAUCUCUUGGAGGCGGCAAGCUCUUGGUACUCAAUUUGCAAUGCUUUGAUUCGCAUGUACACUAGGGGGCGCAAGUAGGCUUGUUUUCCACCACGGCUCUAAGAAAUCCAAUGCAACUCUAGGGGAUGGGGUAUAGGAGGGCAGUCAGGAGCCACACUGUCUCUGAAAAGUGCUGAGGGUAAACAGACGUCUGAGGAUGGGGUCUAAAAAGGAGGGUAACACGCUCAUGAAUUGCUCGAAGCUGUUUUCUGUAUUUGUUUUCCCCGAUCAGCCUUGGAACUUUGAGCUAGGGCUAAAAGGGCAAGUUAUGUAAGGGCCUGGGCUGCUGCCAUAUUAGGCUGCCAGGCUCUCAGCCUCAGGGUGAGUCAACACCUGGGAGCUGGUGGCCUAGAGCGGCGCUUUCAAGUUGGCUGAGACUGAACCACUACAGUAAAGCCAGUGUUUGACCCAUUCCUGAGCCAGGCAGGCGGGCAGGAGACUCAGGUCUAUGGAAAGAAAGGCCCUACAUACCUUUGCUCUGGAAAGACGGGUCGUGCUUUGGGCCCCAAAUUGCAAGAACUCUUUUACCAAACAGACCUGUGCGCCACUGACCUACUUUUUCCGUAGAGUAGACAGAAGCCAGCCCAGGAGUACACAGCCUUCUUUUCCACCCGAUUCCUCCAAUGCCUCCAACAGUGGCCUUGCUGUCCCAGGCCAGGGAACUACGGGUGUGGACCGUACUUUCCUGGCCCACCGAAGGGAAAUGAGCGGAGGAAAUCCGCACAAGGGUUUUUACUGCCAAAUAUUUCUUUCCCUAGGAAGACAGUACAUUCAAACCACUGAGUGGAGACUGGAGUUAGGCCAGCCAUAAACUAUCCUAAUGAAGACUAAUCGGGAACUACAAUUACUGUUGACUUCAGAAUGCAAACAUGAACUUUAGACAGCGAUCCCUAUCAGCCGAUAAAAGUUUGAAUUUUGCCCGGGAGGGACCCUCCAGAAUUAUCAUUAAAGAAAAUAUACGCAAAGAACAGAAGGGUCCCAUGCUGCCCUCUCCACAACAGAGUGUGGUGAUAUCCACUGGAAGGUCUUGUUGUCUCACAGAGGAACUUCCUCCUUCUGUAGGGAGGGUCUCCUUCUACAGUCCUUGUGCUGACCUCACCUGAACCUAUAGCGAGGUUGCUUCGGUCAUGGUGCUCCACGACAGUAAUAGAAACCCUAAGACACCUCAAAAGCCUUAAUAAAUAAAUGCACAAUCUUGGGUUUGCCGGUAAGUUUUUAGAAACAAAUCAAAGACAUCCAUGAAAGAAAGAAUUGGUACACGGGACUUCAUUAAAACUAGAACUUUUUCUAUGAGAGUUACUGUCAGGGGAAUGAUAACACAAGUCACAAAUGAAAAGAAAACAUUUGCAAGAGACACGUCUGAUAAAGGCCUGUCACACAACUUGCAGAGAGAAUGUAUAAUUCAAGUAGAAGAAUGCAAAGGACCCAAUUAAAAAUGGCCCCUAAAACCAAAACAGCUCAUCAAAGGAGAUAUUUAGAUGGCAAACCAGCGUACAAGAUGCCACACAUCAGAUCUCAUCAGGGAAACACAAGUGUGAGGGGGAGACAUCACUAUCCAGCGCAGAGCGCUCUUCCCCCAAAUGUUGCAGGAUGUGGAUGUGGAGGUAUUGGAGUCUCUCUGGGUAAUGGUAGCAUUGCUCUGGUUCCAGAGGGAUAAGAGUUCAUCCUGGCAGCAAGUAGCAGGCAUGGUGAGAGGAACAGAAGCUGGGGCUCCCAUCUUCAAAUACAAACACAAAGCAGAGAGAGAGAGAGAGAGAGAGAGAGAGAGAGAGAGAGAGAGAGAGAGAGAGAGAGAGAGGAGUUGGAAUCUUUAAACUCUCAAAGCCUGUCAUUGGAGGAGCGGGAAAGAAGUUUGAAGGAAGAGGAGACUAGGAGAAAGGAGACAGGAGGGAGAGAGGGGCAGAGAAGCCAUGGCAGGACAAGAUGGCAGGUAAUGUUAAGAUUCUGCUCUGUGUAUUUACAGGUUGUUAUUAAUGUUCUCAAGGGAUGGAUAGUACCAGGCUUUGUAUGUUUAAGUGGGCAAUUAUGUCUUAUCAAUUGGGUCAAAGAUUAUUGUGUUGUGUGUUCUUUUAUGUGAGGGUCUGAGUGUAGGAAAACGUGUGACUGGGAUGUGUUUCCACCAAGAUAUCUAGCAGAUAUCUUGGGGCACCGCAGUGUGGACCUAGCGGGGUAAAAGACAACUUUACUUUUUUAUUUUUAUUUUUAUAUUUUUACAACAACACUAUAUCUCCCCAGACAGUGUCACAGGUAGAGCCUGUGAGGGAUAUUUCUCACUCAAACCACUACACAUGUGACUUGCUUUUUUCUUCCACUUGUUGCUUAUAAUAGACUCCCCGGCAGACACUCUAUGUUCUUGGCAUCCUCGGCAUCCCGAGGUCCCCCCAUUGUGGUUUGGGUUUCACCAUCACAGCUCCAAGCAUUGUCCUCGUAAAGGCUACCUGCAGCAAUUCAAUCCUGUCACACAUGACCUCGCUUCAAGGACUCUUCCUUCAGUGUCCUUGUAGGUACCUCCAUGACCUUGUAACUCUCACACGCUGCAUGUCCGCAAAGCCAGAACCAUCCAGUGGAUAACACCAAGUUCUGUUGCCAGGUUGAGCACUAGCCAGGGCUCUGUGGACCAUGGUCACGGCAGCAGCCUUUGUCUGGGCAGUUAAAUCUGGAGAAACAAGCCCUUACAAUGGCUCUUCCAGGAGCCGGUUACCGGGGAGUAGCUCUCUUAUUCAAAGGAAAAUGAUUUAAAUGAGUUUGACAUUUUACACCUUGGAAUCUGUGCAGGAUGAGACGUUGCCAAAUACCUAACAUGCCCUUGUGGCGCCUUUCUGUUCUGCUCCGUACCCCCAGUUUUCAUGGCAAACCUGGCACAUGGCAAACACAGGCACUGAUAAGCAUCCCAUAGGCUGAAUGGUAGGCUGUCUUGAAAGUUCCUGUGCCAAAGCAGAGUCCAUUUUACUUCUGCUUUCAGUUUCACUCGACAGUUUAGGACACAGGCAAACUAUGGCCAAGUGCUUUAAGUUAAGUAGAACAUAACACAAGUAGCCUGCAGUUCAAUGACCAAUGGGUCCUUGUUCCCAUCUGAAACCUCACGGGAGGUCUUUACUGUCCGCAUGUCUUCCUGCAUAGUGAUGUCCGAGCUCCCACAAGAACUGCUUAUUCAGCUCUGCUCACAGAGUUUCGGAGCUUUCCAACUCUGAAUCUCCAAACUUCCAAACUCCUCUCAUAGAUCAGCUCGAAAGACUUAGGACCUCCCCCCACCCCCCAUGGUCAGCAUUAAUCACAGACAUGACCCUGAUUCUCAGAGCCAACUUUACAUAGAAGUAAAUUUGAAUUACUUUGAUCCUCCAAAGCCUGGCGGAUACAAAAUAGGAAAGGGAAAUUUUAUUUGGGCUCUGGAUUUUAAGAGUUCAGCCAGUGACUUCUUAGCCUCAUGCACUUGAGCAUCAUGGAGGGAGGAGCACGUGUCAGAGAAGAACUGUUUACAUCACAGCUGAUAUGAAGCAGAGAGCGACAGAUGUAGCCAACAACAAUACAUCCCUAAGGCCCAGCUCCCAGAGAACUACGUCCUCCUUCUAGGUCCAACCUCCCCAGAUUUCCAGGCUCUCCCAAAAUAGCAGCAUCAGUCGGAGCAUCCAAACCUGGACCUGUGAGAGGCAAUUGAGAUUCAAACCCUGCUGGUCAUGAUGGUGCGUGCCUUUAACCCCAGUACUCAGGAAGCAGAGACAACUUGGUCUAUAGUGUGAAUUCUGGGCCACCCAGGGCUGCAUAGUCAGACCCUGACUCAAACAAAACAAAUGGACAAGGUUUCUAAUCAUGAUACUGUUCCCUUGAGGUAGUAGAGACCCACAAUAGGUGCCGGAAGAAAUCCUUCAUUUCUUUUUCUUUUCUCGUUCAUCAAUGAAAUACUACCAUACUAUGAGCCUGCAACUAUUUCAUUUGCCAAAAGAACAAUAACAGAAGAGUGUGACAAACAGGCAAUGAUCAGAAAAGAGUCUCUCUGAGAAUGUCUGAAUUCAAGCUCAAAGUACUUCCACACCGAAGAUCCACCUUUGGGUUCCCCGUUUUGACCUGAAGCAUCCCAAGCUCUGCCUCGUGGUCAUGCUGCCUUCUCUCAGAUGGCUAGCAUGCUCCGAUGCCUCCCUCUAACAGCAGUAACCAUGACGUUUAGAGUUCUCCUUGAAGAUCUGCUUGGCAAUCUCCUCAUCUCCAAGAUGUCAUAUGAAGACGACACACUCAGCUUCCAGGGACUGGUGUUUGAUAUCCUGGUCAUCCUUCCAAACCAACUGAAGAGAAAGAGUGACUAUCACCGCCAGAAAGAGACACGUGCUCACUGCAUUCUCUGCAGCACUGCUGCUGAUAGCAAGAGAAUUUACAUUUUCAAUAUCUGUCAACGGGAGGGAUGGAGGCAUUGAACACGCUCCUGCAACGACCUGUCAUGCGGCAGCUAAAAUGAAUGAACUAGAUAUGCAACAGUCGAAGCCAGUGUCACCGGAUUCAGCGCAGAGACAAUGUAGCCAGCUGUUUCAAGCGGAUGUUGCCUCAGCUUCCCAGACGGAUGGAUUAUGUCUUGAACUGUGAGCUAAAAUAAACCCUCCCUUCCUCAGGUUGCUUUGGUCAGAAUACGAUGUUAUUAAAGCAACAGGAAA